rnacentral:rRNA from 1 species
UGGGGAAUAUUGCACAAUGGGCGAAAGCCUGAUGCAGCGACGCCGCGUGAGGGAUGACGGCCUUCGGGUUGUAAACCUCUUUCAGUAGUGACGAAGCGCAAGUGACGGUACCUGCAGAAGAAGCACCGGCUAACUACGUGACAGCAGCCGCGGUAAUACGUAGGGUGCGAGCGUUGUACGGAAUUACUGGGCGUAAAGAGCUCGUAGGCGGUUUGUCACGUCGGCUGUGAAAUCCUAGGGCUAAACCCUGGACGUGCAGGCGAUACGGGCUAACUUGAGUACGACAGGGGGGACUGGAAUUUCUGGUGUAGAGGUGGAAUGCACAGAUAUCAGGAAGAACACCGAUUGCGAAGGCAGGUCACUAGGUCAUAACUGACGCUGAGGAGCGAAAGCAUGGGUAGCGAACAGG